AUUGAACGCUGGCGGCAUGCCUUACACAUGCAAGUCGAACGGUAACAGGUCUUCGGAUGCUGACGAGUGGCGAACGGGUGAGUAAUACAUCGGAACGUGCCUAGUAGUGGGGGAUAACUACUCGAAAGAGUGGCUAAUACCGCAUGAGAUCUACGGAUGAAAGCAGGGGAUCGCAAGACCUUGUGCUACUAGAGCGGCCGAUGGCAGAUUAGGUAGUUGGUGGGAUAAAAGCUUACCAAGCCGACGAUCUGUAGCUGGUCUGAGAGGACGAUCAGCUACACUGGGACUGAGACAUGGCCCAGACUCCUACGGGAGGCAGCAGUGGGGAAUUUUGGACAAUGGGCGCAAGCCUGAUCCAGCAAUGCCGCGUGCAGGAUGAAGGCCUUCGGGUUGUAAACUGCUUUUGUACGGAACGAAAAGCCCCGGGUUAAUACCCUGGGGUCAUGACGGUACCGUAAGAAUAAGCACCGGCUAACUACGUGCCAGCCGCCGCAGUAA
rnacentral:rRNA from 1 species